CCUACGGUGUGCAGCAGUGAGGAAUAUUGGUCAAUGGACGAGAGUCUGAACCAGCCAAGUAGCGUGAAGGAUGACUGCCCUAGGGGUUGUAAACUUCUUUUAUAUGGGAAUAAAAUGUUCCACGGUUGGGAGUUUGUAUGUACCAUAUGAAUAAGGAUCGGCUAACUCCGGUCCAGCAGCCGCGGGAAUACGGAGGAUCCGAGCGUUAGCCUGAUUUAUUGGGUUUAAAGGGAGCGUAGGUGGAUUGUGAAGUCAGUGGUGAAAGUUUGCGGCUAAACCGUAAAAUUGCAGUUGAAACUGGCAGUCUUGAGUACAGUAGAGGUGGGCGGAAUGCGUGGUGUAGCGGUGAAAUGCUUAGAUAUCACGAAGAACUCCGAUUGCGAAGGCAGUUCACUGGACUGCAACUGACACUGAGGCUCGAAAGUGUGGGUAUCAAACAGGAUUAGAUACCCGGGUAGUC
rnacentral:rRNA from 1 species